GCCUGUGGCACCGUGGGUUAAUGCUUCUGGCUCUUAUGCAGAAGGUUGGUGGUUCGAUCCCACCCAGGGAUA